rnacentral:sRNA from 1 species
CUUUAACAAUCUGGAACAAGCUGAAAAUUGAAACCUGACAGCAGAAACUUAUCCCUCCGUAGAUGUAUUGGGGUAAGGAUGACCCUGUCAGAGAGUCUCUCAAAUGUUUGCAACGCGAAUGUGCCGAACUCAG